ACAGGAUAUUUAAAAAAUAAAAUGAAAGCAAGCAAAAAGGCUUUUCAUCUAAAUUCAAAUCAGCAAAAACGUUUAAUAACGAGUUUAAAAACUCAUCAGAGUAUUCAAACAAUAUCAAUGGGGUUGCCACGGGGAGUUUAUAGAUACAUUUUUGAUGGAACCGUUCAAAAAUAGCCGCCACUGCAGCAGAGACGCACUUUGCUGGCCAAAUAACAGCAGGACUAACGCAACAAUUCACGUGGCGCUUUCAAUGCAUUCGUCAAUCAACGUAGCAGAGGCGAGAGUCUACUCAUAAUUGAAUUCCGCCAGCACAGUUGGAGUCACAGUCGGGGAAGUGUUUUUGUAUUAUUGGAAUUCUCUUUGACGUGCGACGGGGACUAGAUCAAAAAUCCGCUUCGAGAAAGACACAAAAUUAUGUGUCCGAAAUGGCAAUUGGCAGCUAAAGCUAAAUUCAUUAUUUCGAUGCUUUAAUACUCUUUAGAAGCAAAUUGCUUAACCAUGUGGAAUUAUGCUCUCUCUACUUGUAUGAAACAGUAGGCAAGAAUGGGUGCAUGAAAGUUAAAAUAUUUGCCUUGAGGAUGGUUCUCCACAAUAAAGAUGAACCAAUAUUCGAUAACAAUAGAAAACCAGGCAUAUGAAUCGUAUCUUAGGCCGCGGCAUCAGUUCACACCGUGAAUAGAAACACUAUAAAAUUUUCCCAAAGUCUUUGAGCUUCGCUGUGCAUACACAGAAUUGCUAUGAAAGAAGCGUAUAACCGCAUUGCGAUACCCUUACGCAGGACAUCAAACGUGCCAUUCAUGCAGAGGGCGCGAAUAUUUUGGCUGCUGUAGAUAAUGCCUCAAUGAAUACUGUUUAAAAUUCAUUUCGUUUAUCAUCAAGUUUGGGGUUGUCUGGUGGCAUGGGUGAAAAGUACUGGAGUUUUGGGAGCUGUUGUUACCCGGGUUGGGUGCCUGAUGAGUUUUGGCUGCCGAUGAAACUUUUUAAAUGGAAUUUACGCUGCAAAAUCGCGUUUUCAACGAAAUGAGUUUUAAUUGCAAGUUUUCCUAAUGCAGGCAACGCACGCAGUCGUCGCUGUUGCGUGUAUUCACUUUGUUGUCAUCAUUGUUGCUGUUGUUGUUUUUUUGUUUAUUAUUGUUGUUGUUGUUGGUGCAAAUUCGUUAAAAUUUCUGCCACGUUUCCCCUUAAAUAGCACAAAAUUAUGUUCUUUAUGAUAA